AACGCGAAGAACCUUACCAGGUCUUGACAUCCCGCUGACCGCUCUGGAGACAGAGCUUCCCUUCGGGGCAGCGGUGACAGGUGGUGCAUGGUUGUCGUCAGCUCGUGUCGUGAGAUGUUGGGUUAAGUCCCGCAACGAGCGCAACCCUUAUUUCUAGUUGCCAGCAUUCAGUUGGGCACUCUAGAGAGACUGCCGUCGACAAGACGGAGGAAGGCGGGGAUGACGUCAAAUCAUCAUGCCCCUUAUGACCUGGGCUACACACGUGCUACAAUGGUUGGUACAACGGGAUGCUACCUCGCGAGAGGACGCCAAUCUCUUAAAACCAAUCUCAGUUCGGAUUGUAGGCUGCAACUCGCCUACAUGAAGUCGGAAUCGCUAGUAAUCGCGGAUCAGCAUGCCGCGGUGAAUACGUUCCCGGGUCUUGUACACACCG
rnacentral:rRNA from 1 species